UACGGAGGGUGCGAGCGUUGUCCGGAAUCACUGGGCGUAAAGGGCGCGUAGGCGGCCUGGUAAGUAGGGGGUGAAAUCCUGCGGCUUAACCGCAGGGCUGCCUUCUAAACUGUCAGGCUCGAGCACGGUAGAGGCAGAUGGAAUUCCCGGUGUAGCGGUGGAAUGCGUAGAGAUGCGGAGGAACACCGAUGGCGAAGGCAGCCCCCUGGGUCGACACUGACGCUCAGGCACGAAAGCGUGGGGAGCAAACAGG
rnacentral:rRNA from 1 species